AGCACUGGAACCCCACGCUAUGUGUCCCUCGGUGUGGCUCAUCCGCUCAGCGUCACCUGUUCCAGGUCCCUCCACAUGGGAGCAGCUGCUGUGAACACAUCGGGCACAGGACCUUUUUUAAAGAUGGACACGUAUCUUCCGCUCUGGCCACGGUGUUGCCACACUGGGCUGUGCAGCCUUGAGCUUCCGUGUAGCCUCUCUGUUUCAGUGACCCCUCUAGAAGUGGGGGGACUGGGUCAGAGACUUUCUGGGGUCUUUUCCGACCCCAUGUGCUGCUCGUGUGAAACCCAUGGCUUUGCUCGGGGACUGGCCACAGAGUUCAGCCAUCCGAUGCUCAGGUGCCCGCGAGCCGAUCACACGGAUGUGUGCAUUCCUCGAGAAUAAAACUCAGGGUGAACUCAGAUUGACCUGAAACACAAACCGAGAACGAGUCCCUGAAGCUUUACCGGAUGUACACCUUGCAAGAAACAGCCCGUGUCCCUGAUUCCCAGCGGGAGGACCUCUCGAGGUUCCAAUGUAGCCCGUCUCAGACUGCCCCCCGAGGACACCUGCAGAGAGGCGGAGCCCCCCAGGCCCGUGAGGAAGCUGUUCCCUCCGGUGGGGCCCCAGGGGCUGCCCAUGGUGAAGGGGAGACGCCCUCACGCAGAGGGAGCUGCGCAGCGCACCCAGAUCCAACGGUGGGAGCUG